AUGCUGCAAGGUCGGGGACGCGAGCGUCCAUGGCGGCAGAGUGCACUAUUUGAGACAAAGAGAGAAAUUGAGAUGUGUGAGAGAGAGAAAGGAGGAAAAAAGAGAGCACGGGAAGAAGGGUGGCACUCAUCUGCUGGCUCCGGCAAGCUGUGGCUGGUGGUCGCCGCCGGCGGCGUGCAAAAUCACAGGAGGAGCUCCUCUCGUGGGGCUCGGGUGCGGGGAAUCGUGGGAGGAGGCUGCGAGGACGGGCACGCUUGGGCGCUCGCUCGAUCUCCUCGGGCGAAGAGGUGGCUGGGAGAUGCGGGGAGGGGAGGAGGUGGCGGCGGCGACGGGGAGAUUGGGAGCAGGGGAUGGAUGGAUCUGAUUUAG
rnacentral:rRNA from 1 species